rnacentral:rRNA from 1 species
UAAGCGGAGGAAAAGAAACUAACAAGGAUUCCCCUAGUAGCGGCGAGCGAAGCGGGAAGAGCUCAAAUUUAUAAUCUGGCACCUUCGGUGUCCGAGUUGUAAUCUCUAGAAGUGUUUUCCGCGUUGGACCGCACACAAGUCUGUUGGAAUACAGCGGCAUAGUGGUGAAACCCCCGUAUAUGGUGCGGACGCCCAGCGCUUUGUGAUACACUUUCAAUGAGUCGAGUUGUUUGGGAAUGCAGCUCAAAUUGGGUGGUAAAUUCCAUCUAAAGCUAAAUAUUGGCGAGAGACCGAUAGCGAACAAGUACCGUGAGGGAAAGAUGAAAAGCACUUUGGAAAGAGAGUUAACAGUACGUGAAAUUGUUGGAAGGGAAACGCUUGAAGUCAGACUUGCUUGCCGGAGCUUGCUUCGGUUUGCAGGCCAGCAUCAGUUUUCCGGGGUGGAUAAUAACGGUUUGAAGGUAGCAGUCUCGGCUGUGUUAUAGCUUUCCGUUGGAUACAUCCUGGGGGACUGAGGAACGCAGCGUGCUUUUUGCGAAAGACUCGUCUUUUUCACGCUUAGGAUGCUGGUGGAAUGGCUUUAAACGACCCGUCUUGAAACACG